GUCCCAGUAGCUCAGCCGGAUAGAGCAUACGCCUUCUAAGCGUACGGUCGGGAGUUCGAAUCUCUCCUGGGACGCCA
rnacentral:tRNA from 63 species